UUGAUCCUGGCUCAGAAUCAACGCUGGCGGCGUGCCUAACACAUGCAAGUCGAACGAGAAAGUGGAGCAAUCCAUGAGUACAGUGGCGACCGGGUGAGUUACACGUGACUAAUCUACCCUCGAGUGGGGAAUAACUCCGGGAAACCGGAUCUAAUACCGCAUAACAUCAUCGGAACGCAAGUUCUGAUGAUCAAAGGAGUAAUUCGCUUGAGGAGGAAGUCGCGGCUGAUUAGCUAGUUGGCGGGGUAAUGGCCCACCAAGGCUUAGAUCGGUAUCCGGCCUGAGAGGGCGCACGGACAUACUGGAACUGAAACACGGUCCAGACUCCUACGGGAGGCAGCAGUGGGGAUUUUUGCGCAAUGGGGGAAACCCUGACGCAGCAACGCCGCGUGGAGGAUGUAGUCCCUUGGGACGUAAACUCCUUUCGACCGGGAAGAUACUGACGGUACUAGAUGAAGAAGCACCGGCUAACUCUGUGCCAGCAGCCGCGGUAAUAAGGU
rnacentral:rRNA from 1 species